rnacentral:pre_miRNA from 1 species
CCUUAGUCCCAAAAUAAGUGCAGUUUUGUACUCGUCUUAUUUGAAAAAAAAUUAUGAUUAUUAUUUUUAUUGCUAUUAGAUGUAAAACAUGAAUAGUAUUUUAUGUGUGACUAAAUAUUUUUAAUUUUUUCACAAAAUUUUUAAAUAAGACGAACGGUUAAACGUUGGGCACGGAUAUCCAUGGCUGCACUUAUU